rnacentral:rRNA from 1 species
GACGAACGCUGGCGGCGUGCUUAAUACAUGCAAGUCGAACGGACAGGCGCUGCUUUUGCGGGGUGCUCGAUAGGCGAACGGGUGUGUAAAACGCGAGUAACAUGCCCUUGUCUUUGGGAUAUCUUCAGGAAACUGGGGCUCUUACCGGAUAGGAGAUAUUGAUGCACGGUGGUGGUUGGAAAGUUUCGGCGGUUGGGGAUGGUCUAGAGGCUUAUCAGCUUGUUGGUGGAGUAGUGGCUUACCAAGGCUGCGACGGGUAGCCGGCCUGAGAGGGUGAACGGGCACAUGGGGACUGAGAGACGGCCCAGACGCGUACGGGAGGCAGCGGUGGGAAAUAUUGCAGAAUGGGCGGAAGCCUGAUGCAACAGCGCCGCGUGCGGGAUGACGGCCUUCGGGGUGUAAACCGCUUUCUCCGUUGACGAAGCGGGAGUGACGGUAAUGGGUAAAGAAGCACCGGCUAACUACGUG